UGGUAAAAAGAGGGCUUGAACCUCUGUCUUUAGAUUUACAGUCUAAUGCUUACUCGGCCAUUUUACC
rnacentral:tRNA from 1 species